UUGUCAUUUUGAAUUUUGUUUGCAUUAUUAGCUAACGAAUUUGGACAUUUUUGCCAAAUUGCUCUGUCUUCUUCAUAUUAGCUUUAAUAUCAGGUGGUUUUUAUCUUGCGUUGAUGCUGAUUUGAAAAUAUAGCUUUGCAGAGGAGGAUAAAACAAAGUUAAUAGAUGUAAUUAAUUCUUUCAUAUUAGCUUCUAAGUUCAGAUGGGUUUUUUUGGGCCAUUUUACUAACCAACGUUUCUUUGGUUUGCCAAAUUUGAACAAAUUUGAACAUAUGGGUCUGCGGAAGAGUUUCAGAUUUUAACAGAUGGCAAAUAACUCUUCAUAUUAGACUCUGCUUCCAGCUUUAGAUUUAUGGCCCGUGGAAGAGGGCAGAACAUUUCUAAUAAUUAUAGAUAUCUCUUGUAUCAACAUCCAAUUUCAGAUUUUAACAUAUUGAAGAGCGCAUGACAGAGCCAACAAAUAACAAAGAACUCUUCAUAUUAGCCUCUAAUUCCGCUUUGGAUUUUUGGCCUGUAGGAGAGGGCAGAACAUUUCCAAUAAUUAUAGAUAUCUCUUAUAUCAACCUCCAAUUUCAGGUUUGAACAUAUGGAUCUGCAGAAGACAGUUAACCAUGACCAACAAAUAAAGAGAUAUUCGUCAUAUUUUUCCCCUACUCCA